rnacentral:misc_RNA from 1 species
GAUGAAGAACGUAGCGAAAUGCGAUACGUAAUGUGAAUUGCAGAAUUCAGUGAAUCAUCGAAUCUUUGAACGCACAUUGCGCCCGCCAGCACUCUGGCGGGCAUGCCUGUUCGAGCGUCAUUUCAACCAUCAAGCCCCAGGCUUGCGUUGGAGCCCUGCGGCUGCCGCAACCUCCUAAAAGCAGUGGCGGGCUCGCUAUCACACCGAGUGCAGUAGAUUACUCUUCGCUCAGGGCGUGCAGCGGGUUCCGGCCGUGAAACCCCCUACUUUUAAAGGUUGACCUCGGAUCAGGUAGGAAUACCCGCUGAACUUAAGCAUAUCAAUAAGCGGAGGA